rnacentral:lncRNA from 1 species
CUCAGUAGCGAGAGCUUGUAACCUAAGCGGGGGCAUUAAGGUGGUGUGGAUGUUUCCUGACGGAUUCUGGGCCUGGGCCUGUAUGUGCCACUGGCCGGCCUGCCCGUUCCAAGUUGGUUGUGGCUGGUGGGGCUCGGGCGAAGGCCUGGGCCUCUUUAGACCUGAAGCGGCAGGCAUGGCGUGAGGCUGGCUUCACAGAGCAGCGAUCACUGCCCGCUUCCAACGGUGGGAGGAUAACAGGCCGCUGCAUUGCAAGCCCAACUCGGUCCAGAGCCUCAUUAAACAGACCACCAUCUUUUUGUUUUUUUUGGACUGUUCUUCCCUCGGCGCAAAAAAUGUUUUUGCUUUUAAUAAAUCUGUUUAUCUCCAGACUUCUCUAUGACUCAAAUCUAUCAUCAAUCUCCCUGUAUGCAACAAAUAUUUUUGCCGUCUCCUAUUUGUAUGGCCUUCGUUCCUGAAAGUUGGAUACAGUUUCCAGAUGAUCGGAACCCGCCGACGACAACAUUGGCGCUACCUGGGGCCCUGAAUUCUCGGGGCGCAGAUGGCAAAUGCUGCCCAAUCCGGCUAUUGUCAUCUGUUUGUUCCUUUUAGUGUACAACAAACUCAUCAAUUCUUGCACUCCCAUUUAAGAUCGGCCAAAAUGACUCAAUGCUGCAACCAAGUGCUUCUACAGUGUUAUAUGCUAAUAGAGCAAACAACAUAACUAUAACAGGAGUAGAGACUUGAUUAUAAGCUAAAAGAAAUGUGGUCCUAGUUUUGAUCGCAAAGGGGUGACGACAACGACCAGUUUUAUUGAUAGGUACACACUGUCUCCGUUCGUUGCCUUGGCUGGUUUCUCUAGUAGAACUCCUGGUAGUGCUACCAACCUUUUAUCUCGCGUCAAACCGAAAUACAGGAAAAUAUUCAUUGCGUAUAAGUUGUUUGAAUCACCAGCUGCCAUGGGAGCAAAGCUGAUACGACGAAUUCCUCACAAUUCUUCAUGCCUCGUACAAAUCAUAUGUUCCUCCCUAGCCUAGCAUUAAUUUGACUAGUAUAUAGGAACAAAUGCGUUUGAGAGGGGAUAUCUUUACAGUUCUAUCCGGCUUGUGUGACGGAAAAUGACAAAACGUGCCAAGGCAAAGUGUUCUGGGCCGACUAAAAGUAUUUAUUUCGUCGAGAGAAGCAACGAAGCCCACUCCUCCGAGACACUGUUCCCUCCCACGUGACCUGUCAUUUAGCACCACCUCGGCAGUCUCAGUCUGUUCGUACCAGCUUAAAUAUUCUUCGUGACUGCCUGGUCUAGCCGAGUUCUGUAGCUGGAGCUUGUAACCCGAGCGGGGGCAUUAAGGUGGCGCGGAUGCUUUGCGAUGGUUUCUGGGCCUGGGCUCGUUGUGACUCUAGCCGGCUUGCCCAUCCCAAGUUGGUAGUGUCUGACGGGGCUCUAGCGAAAGCUUUGGGUCUCUGCAGACCUACAGCGGCAGGAAUGGCGUAAGGCUGGCUUCACAGAGCAGCGAUCACUGCCCACUUCCAACGGUGGGAGGAUAACAAGCCGCUGCACUUUGAGCCCAACACAGACCCAGAUCCUCUCUUAGCAAACCACCAUCUUUUUUAUUUUUGCCCCUGUUCGGACAACUCAUUUUUCUUUGUGAAAAAAUUCGGCUACUGUUUGUUGGUGGGAGAGAGAAAAAGAUUAUAUUUUGAAGUUUUGAGGUCAGUUUCCAUCCGGCUUGUGUGACGGAAAAUGACAAAACGUGCCAAGGCAAAGUGUUCUGGGCCGACUAAAAGUAUUUAUUUCGUCGAGAGAAGCAACGAAGCCCACUCCUCCGAGACACUGUUCCCUCCCACGUGACCUGUCAUUUAGCACCACCUCGGCAGUCUCAGUCUGUUCGUACCAGCUUAAAUAUUCUUCGCGACCGCCUGGUCUCGCCGAGUUCUGUAGCUAGAGCUUGUUACCCGAGCGGGGGCAUUAAGGUGGCGCGGAUGCUUUGCGAAUGUUUCUGGGUCUGGGCUCGUUGUGACACUGGCCGGCUUGCCCAUCCCAAGUUGGUAGUGUCUGGCGGGGCUCUAGCGUCUCUGCAGACCUGGAGUGGCAGGAAUGGCGUGAGGCUGGCUUCACAGAGCAGCGAACACUGUCCACUUCCAACGGUGGGAGGAUAACAAGAGCCGCUGCACUUUGAACCCAACACAGGCCCAGAACCUCACUAAGCAAACCACCAUCUUUU